rnacentral:misc_RNA from 1 species
UUAGAUUUAGCCGACAGCCGGCAGGCGUUUCAAAUCCGACCGGAAAUCGAUGCGGGAUUCCAGUGGAACUUGAAGCUCGUCAUCGAAUAAAAUACUGAUUUCCGCAUCGACCACCCGACUCCAGUGGACACCUUGGGACAGUUCAGUGCGCAACUUGGAACAAAAAUCAUUGACAAUGCUUUGUGGCUCGUUUAGAAAGAAAAGAAGGCAUCCGGGCGACGAGUACCGUCUCGUGAGAUCAAACGCGUUUUCACCGAGGGUGUUGACAUGCAAAGAGAGCGGCCAGAUAUCCACCCGGAGUAGACCGAAGUCUUCCUCCUCAAUAACCGCAGCUCGUUCGUCCCUCAUCAAAGAUCUUCUGCAAACGGGUCUGGACAACGUGAGCUCAGCAACCCUCAGGCCUUUCAAUUCCGAUAUCAACACACCAAGGAUCGAUUCCUACAGGUUUUCUAUGGCGAAUCUCGAGGAUUCACAGGAUGUCGAUCUUGAUGCGAUACUUGGCGAAUUGUGCGCCCUCGAAAGGCGUUGCGACGGUGAUAUCGCCUCGACCGGACAAGCACCGGAUUCACAGAGAACAGGGAGGCCCAACAGUGCUAGAAUUAACGCUGGCGAUAGCACAGAUAUUGGGAAAAAUGACGGAGGGAUGCGAACGGACAGUCCGGACAAUGACAGUGCCUUUUCGGACACGGUGUCAAUGUUGUCCAGCGAGAGUUCAGCGAGUAGCAGUGGUUCGGGACACAAACCACCUCAGACCGCCAUGCACACGGUCCCUCAGCAGCAAUCUCACCAGCUCAUGGAUGCUGCCGGUAGAGCAAAAGCUGAAAAAAUUCGUCUCGCUCUGGAAAAAAUGCGCGAGGCUAGUGUCCAAAAACUCUUCAUCAAGGCUUUCACACUUGACGGCAGUGGUAAGAGUCUUCUCGUCGACGAAGGUAUGAGCGUUGCCCACGUAUGUCGGCUGCUAGCUGACAAAAAUCACGUCGCGAUGGAUCCCAAGUGGGCCGUUGUCGAGCAUCUACCCGAUCUAUUUAUGGAGAGGGUAUACGAGGACCACGAGCUCUUGGUUGAGAAUCUUCUUUUGUGGACGAGAGACUCGAAGAACAAAUUGCUUUUUGUCGAGAGACCGGACAAGACCCAGCUUUUCCUUACUCCUGAGAAAUACCUGCUCGGGUCAACGGACAGGACUAAUACCGAGUACGACGACCACUCGAGAAACAUACUUCUAGAAGAAUUCUUCUCGAGCAGCAACGUCGGUGUGCCUGAGGUUGAAGGACCCCUGUACCUAAAGUCAGACGGGAAAAAGGGUUGGAAAAAGUAUCACUUCAUACUGCGUGCCUCGGGGCUUUAUUACUGGCCAAAGGAGAAGGCACGAACAGCCCGAGAUCUCGUGUGUCUAGCAACGUUCGACGUUAACCAAGUAUAUCACGGGGUUGGUUGGAAGAAAAAAUACAAAGCACCGACGGACUGUUGUUUCGCGGUGAAGCAUCCGCGUCUGCAGCAGCCGAAAUCGACCAAGUAUAUAAAAUUUUUAUGUGCGGAGGAUAGCAAUUCGCUGGACAGAUGGAUGGCGGGAAUCAGGGUAGCAAAAUACGGUAGGCAAUUGAUGGAGAAUUAUCGUACUCUCGUCGACGAGUUAGCCCAAGAGGAUCUCGAUUUGUUGGCACACGCGAGAUCGUGCUCGGUGAGCUCGAUAGCCGUGCCACCAACUUCGCAAACGCAGUACAACACGACUAGCGAGAAUGCGAGACAGUACGCGGAAAUGAAUAGACACAAUGGUACGACAGAGAUGAACGGGAGGCAGUACGAGAGUCAACGACAGAGUUACAACAGUGCGGAGCAGCGACAGAGCUACAGCAACGACGGGAGACUCAGCAGAGCGAGUAGUUCGAGUUCCAGCGGCUGUUUGUCGGACGGUGCGCCUAGCAGCUGCGAAGUUGCCUUCGAAUGCGGUGAAUUUCCAACCGGCACGAUAAAGCGCAAGCCAUCGAUGAAUCCGAAGCUUCCGUUAACUUCGAUAACGAGACAGCUUAAAGAAGUCGGUGAAACGGUACGAGACGAGCCGGAUUCCUGUCCAAGUCCAACGAGCUCCGGAUCGGGUACACUCACCAGGCGACAUAGUCGCCGGAGAAGCGGCACGGACUCGGACAGCUCAGGCACCUUGAAGAGGCACCACAGGUCGGGAAAUGCCACACCCGUGAGUCCGGUACCACCGGGUACACCGGUCAGAGAAAGAGUCAGUCCGAUGGGCUACAGCAGAACGGAAAGCCAAGAACCCAAAACGCCAACGAGCCCAGUGCAGCCGUGCAUGAUGGACUCCAUCACCUCGUUGCCGCCACCACCCUCGCCACCUCGUGUCACCGAGGAAACAGAAUCCGAUGGCGAACCUCUGCCCCCACCUCCGCCCGAGAUGUUCAGAUCUAAUCUGUCCCUGGACUCCCUUCCACCACCACCCGCACCCGGUGAAUUGUCGAUGUGCAACACGACCGAUCUCAGUGGUUCCUGUCUCAGUUUAGCUUCGUUACCACCGCCGCCGAGUCCACUGGUCGGUGAAACCGGAACCAUCAGGCGGGCGAGGCCCAAACAAUCGACUCCCACGAAUUCCAUGUCACCCGAAUCCACCCCAACUCACACACCCGUCAAAACUAAUACGAACAAUCAGAUUUACGCGUGUUCCAAUGCAACGAACGGCUCACAGAGUCCAAACGUCGCACUACAAAACAAUCAAAUAUACACGAACAACAUGAGAAACUCCACGUCACCCCACAACUCGUAUCCAGGCUCGAACGCCAGUACGCCAACGUGCGCACCGAGCUCCCCCAACUUCGUGACGCCACCGCCGUUCGUACCACCGCCAGCUUACGGCACCCAACAGCAUCAACAGUUGCAAGCACAACAAUCCCAACAAAAUACUAAUCCUCAGCUAGUCCGACAAAAUUCGAAGAACGAACCGAUCUACGGCGGCCAAUCGAUACGCGCCAAUCCUAACAUGGAUACGGUCAGAAGAAGCGCACUGAAGCAGAACUCGGGUCAUUACGCGGCACCUCCCUACCUCGCCGAGUUGAAGGCAACCGCGAGUCCCCAGCCCCAGCGGAGGGUCACCAUCCAAGAACCACCAACUUCCCCGAAAUCGAAAACCGGCACAGGGAAAAAGAUUUCUUUCAACUUACCGCCCCAACAGGAACCCGGAAGUCCCGCUCUCCCACAGAGGAAACCGAUGCCACCCAGACGCUCGGACAGCACGAGGCUAACCUCGCCCAAAAAAUUAGCUGCUUCGGAGCAGGCUCCUCCAGGUGACUUUCUCAAGGACCUCCAACGAGUCAUGAGAAAAAAAUGGCAGGUUGCGCAAAAGUGCAAACUCGACUCGACCACGACGCCUCACGAAGUUUUGGGCUUCCGGGAUCCACCACCAGCCAUUGCCGAUUAUCGGGAAACCAACGUUUCCAACUGGGUACAAGAGCACUACGGCUCGGACAACCUUUACGAAAACGUUUACGCUACGGAUCCUAACGCACCUGUCGAAUACGCAACGAGCCCAACGCGCCAAAACUCCGUCAGAUUCGCCGAUGAAAAUUGUAGUAUGAACAUUGCUAAUGCUAUUGCGAGCAAACGGAGACCCCCGCCGCCGCCGCCAAAAAGAGCUGAAACUACACACUUGACGACGCGAGCGAUGCACUGACAAUAGCAGAUAAUUCAGCCUCCUACCGAAAGACGAUGGUACUGCUGUUUCUGUGGAUGGUGGAAGUAACGAAGGAUUCAAAAGGGAGAGGGGAAUAAAGGGGCAAUAGUGCUUCGAUUUGAUCUCGUCCGUCGGUUAAUGCGAAAAUAAACACCCGGAGUGAAAUUCGAUUCUGGGUUCAUUAAUGGCCAACCAAUUUUAGAGGACUCGGACAAGAACGUCGUAAAACUCUGAUACGAUUCUUCGCUUAUUUCUACUCCGGUGACGGAAUCGUGAUUUUUAUUCACGUUUAUUCACCUUUUUUCGGCUUUUAUCACUCGUAACAUUUAUCGUGUUAUGGGUGUUGAGAUUUUGGUGCGUUUGAGUCGAAGCACCGCGACACCUUAUGGUAUCACUGUCCAUGUCUGUGUUUGUCGAUCGUACGAAAUAUAUAUUGCCGUAAAUUAAGGAAGCGUCAGCGGAUGGAAUACCAGGUCGAACGUGUAUUGAGCCUUGAAAAAUUCAUUACUCCUACCACAUGAUGUUGAAUGAAAAUCAUUACCGAUCAAUACAUGCAACAACGAGCUCCUCAUCACGCAAAUAAUCAACGAAAAACUCCAAGUGCAUUUUUCCAGUGGUUGCAGUAUUUUUUCGACUUCGAUGAAAAAAAAAGUAACCAUUUUAUCAAUCGCAGAUGGAAUCAAACGACGGUUAAGCAUUUCUUAGUGACGACAUCUAUUUGUCUACGAAGUAAAAUCAUUUUGUAAGCUUGAUAAUACAAACUUUGAGAAGUCGUUUUACAAGAUAAAAUUUAUAGCAUUAUAAACUUUGAUAUCGAGCAUUACGAGACUUUUUAAGAUCGUUGAAGGAUUCAAGCAUUAAGCUGCGUACGUGCUCAGAAGUGAAUUACUUCAAAAUCACUCAACCAACGAAGGAGCCAAUAAUCACUCGAGUCAUUCAGCUUCAUACAAAUCGAAAGAAAAUCUUUGUGCUCAACGCUGAAAAUUGGCAUGGGCCAUGGAUUGUGACGCCUUAUACAUUUGUAACGCACAAGAUUUUUAACACGACGCCAAUCCAUUACUUCGUUGUCACUAGAAUCGUUUAAUACGAACAAAUAAACGGAAGGCGAUUUUUCAAAUCUCAGUAUUUGACCUCACCGCUGAUAUCUUCGUUGUGAAUGAUACAGGUUUAUAUAUAUAUAUAUAUAUACACAAAUAUAUAUACACAUAGUAUAUUUAAAACGCAGAAAGGAAAGAGGGAUCUCUACUGAUGAAUGGGAAGAAUAAGAAUGCGACGAGGAGAAUGAGAUUCUCCGGUCGCGCGGAGAGUAGCAGAAAAACAAAAAUCUUAGAAACUUUAGCCUGUAAGAAUUACUGCCGCACAUAUUGAAGAUGUGAUACGUAAAUCGUAAGCCAGCUUAUGCGACGAUCGUUCGAAUCGAUAUUACCGUUUGUGGCUGAAUAUGCGAGUUGUCCGAAAAUAAAAAUAAAUAACAAAAAAAUUCAAUGAAGUAAAUUCGUAUUUAAGAAGCUCUACGAAUAAAAACGAGGUGAAACGUACGCACAAAAAGUAAAUUAGCAACGAGCGAUACAAAACUGCAGUCUGAUGCGCGUUUACGAGUGAAGUUGGAUAAUAUAAUCAUCCACCAAUUGUGAUGAUUGAACUUCAGUAACUGAGUAUAACGAUCGGUAACGAUUGAACAGUUAGGCCUGCUAAGUUUUGCAUAUUUUUCAACGCUUAAAACAAGUUUUGUAAUCAAGGUGCUUUUCUAUACGGACAUUUACACUGUGACGUUCACUUUACGAUACUGAAAAAUAAUUGAAUGCAUGUGUAUAUCGAUUUAUACGCAUAUAUAUAUAUAUGUUCACAACCCUGUCACCCUCCUAAAAUCCAGUAAUUAAUGUAAUCUCGUAUGUUACGUCGUACAUUUGAUGCCCGAUGAGGCCGGAGCGAUGCUAGAAUUAACUUACGAUAUACGUGGACCUCAAUGUACGUUGUAAUCUUCUUUGGGUUUUUUUGUUCGUUUUCGUUUUUUUUUUUGUUUCAUUUUCAUUACUUCUCUAACGCAUGUGAUUCGAAUUAUCGGAUCUGCAAUUACUUCAUCCGCUAUCAUCGAUAACUCAGAUCUCGUCAAUGCCAUUUUUUGAUAACGAUAUACAUGUAUGAAAAAAAAAUGUGAAAUAACAAAACUCUACAGAAAGGGAAACGUUGUUCUUAAGCAUUUCAAUAACGAAGCGGAUAAAAUUCUUCAAUUUCUCACGCACCAGCCCGAGGAGCGACAGUCUUUGUAUCACAAUUUUUAUCGACACGAUUCGCUUCAGCUCGUCAACGAAAAGUCCAAGGGCAUAUUGUACUUUUCUGGUUGUUUUUUUUUUUUUUUUUUUUUGGAACAAUGUAAUUUUGAGUUGUACAAGCUUCCUGAAAAUCAUUGUUUCGAAAAAAUGUCGUACGACAACAAAAAAAAUCAUUUAUGGCAACUAAAAAUUUCUGGCAUUUAUGGCCACUAGGCAGGGAUACGAAUUCUCGAUUUGUAAAACUAAAAGGAAAUUCACUAACGAAGACAUUCGGAAAUUAUGAAAUUCGAAUCCACACGGAUACACAUAAUAAAAAUGCGCGUUAAUACAAAUAUACCACACAACGUAUGUCGAAGAUGUUUUUGUAUGAAUAUUAUGUAGAAAAAGUCUUAAUCGCGUAAAUCAUUGUGACUAGAUAGUUUACAAUUUCAACUCAUCAUGUCUACCCUGUUGAUCUGCAAUAUUGUUAAUAUUGGUCACAUUAUCGAGUAAGAUCGAGGUUGACAGAUGCAUUUUCAUUAUUAUAAAAAAUCACUGCGAGUUCAUGGAUUAUCAGUUGCGCGAAUGUCAAUGUAUUUAAGGCGAUCGAUUAUUCGGAUCGGGGAUUGAAUUUUUCAAAGUGAGCUGUUAUUGGCCGUAAGUGAAUGAAGGAAAAGAAAUUUGUCGAAAUUCGAAAAACGAAAUUUAGGUAAUUAAUGAGUUCACGUCCGCUCUUUGCCAUUGAGCAGACGAUUAGUGCAAUUGGCAAAAUAAUCGAGUUGAUCGAAAUUCUAUUUGAUCGAUAGUAAACGACAUAUUUUUAUUAUCAUUUACGUUCAAGAGAGAGAAAGAGAGAGAGAGAGAGAGAGAGCGAUUAAAAUUGAGAUGAAAUCCUUACUGUCCUAAGUUGUACGUAUGAUUAUGUAAAUAUUGUAACGAAUGGUACUACGAAGAAAGGAACAAACAUUACUAUUGAAUAAUAUUGCGAUGGAUUAAUAUAAACACACUAUUUAUAAAUAAUAGCGAAGAAUUGAUUUUCAUUGAAAUUAUAUAUGAUUUCCGUUGAGUACGAACGACGAUCACACUAACGCAGUGAUCCUUUUUAUAUUAAAAUUUCAACAAAUACUUUCGAUCGACUAAAUUAUGAGUAAAAAAAAAAUAAAUGAAAAUUGAAAAGAAAUUUAAAGUGCUUUCAUUUGUAUCCCGAGCGAAUCAAAUGUUUUUUUUUUUUUUUUUAAAUAUAUUUUUCAUCCUCUAAUUCAGCUUGUAUACAAUUUCUCUAAAAUGAAUAUUCACGGAUAAACACUUUGACUGGGCAUAGAUUCUCACGAGUUUAUUCAGCUCACCGAAUCCCGUUGAAUUUAGGGAAUCGUGACAAUAAUUAUCUUUUUUUUCACGUGGCUCGUCCACGACGAUCAAUAUCGGACAAAAUUCAAAAGCGUUCAGUGUCAUUCGAAGGAAAUAAAGCUACACGCGCAAUAGUUGAAUUACUAUUGGGUACGUCAUAUUUCAUGUUUUUAUGUAAAUAAAUUUUUCGUAUAUUUCAA